rnacentral:rRNA from 1 species
ACGGCUCAUUAGAGCUUAUACUAAGCUAGCACCUGCCGUUCAGGAUAUCUUCGACAAAUUGAAGCUAAUACAUGCACCUAUGGCUCCUUCGGGGGUCGCAAUAUUAGAACUACCAGUUUACUGGUGGUUGACUUCAAUUAUCGUAGAAAAUCGGCAGCGUGAGCUCCGAUGGGUGCAAGUUAUGUACGCCCUAUCACCCAGCAGGCUGUUUAACCGACAGCCAGGGGUAUAACGGGUAACGGAGAACUAGGGUUCGUCUCCGGAGAAGAAGCCUUCGAAAGGCUACUACAUCCAAGGAAGGCAGCAGGCGCGUAACUUAUCCACUACAUCAGUGAGAUAGUAACUAGUCUUAACUAUUAACUGACUUUUCAAGUUAGUUAUGGUCCAUGAGUUGAGCUUAAAUAGCUCUUCGAGGAUCAAGUGGAGGGCAAGUCUGGUGCCAGCAGCCGCGGUAAUUCCAGCUCCACUAGCGUAAAUUAUUACUGCUGCGGUUAAAAAGCUCGUAGUUGAAUCUAGACGUGUAUAGUUAGCAGACUUUUGGCAUUCAUUUGUCAUUAGUUGUAGCUUUCAGCCGUCUUUGCUGGUUUUCUGUUGGUGUUCGCAUCUUCAGUGGCCAGCGAGUUACUUUGACCAAAUCAGAGUGCUCAAAACAGGCGAAAGCUUGUAUGAUUUCUCGAGGAAUAACAGAAUAGGACUUCGGUUCUUGUUGUUGGUUCCAGAAUCGUUUAAUGGUUAAGAGGGACAAUUCGGGGGCAGCCGUAUCCUCGGGCGAGGGGUGAAAUCCGUAGACCCUGAGGAGACGACCAAUAGCGAAAGCAGCUGCCAAGAAUGUCUCCAUUAAUCAAGAACGAAAGUCAGAGGUUCGAAGGCGAUUAGAUACCGCCCUAGUUCUGACCGUAAACUAUACCAGCUCAUGACUAGUUGGGAUGUAAUGUCCACAACGGGUCGCCCCCGGAAACGAAAGCUUUCGGUUCCGGGGGGAGUAUGGUUGCAAAGCUGAAACUUAAAGAAAUUGACGGAAGGGCACCACCAGGAGUGGAGCCUGCGGCUUAAUUAGACUCAACACUGGGAAGCUCACCCGGUCUGGACACUAUGAGGAUUGACGGAACUCGAAGCUCCUUCUCGAUUUAGUGGCUGGUGGUGCAUGGCCGUUCUUAGUUGGUGGAGUGAUCUGUCUGGUUUAUUCCGGUAACGAUCGAGACUCUAGCCAACUCAAUAGUUACUGGAUCGCAAGGUCCAGGUAACUUCUUAGAGGGAUUAGUGGCGUUUAGUCACACGAGAAGGAGCGAUAACAGGUCUGUGAUGCCCUUAGAUGUCCGGGGCUGCACGCGCGCCACACUGGGAGAAUCAUUAGGUGUCCAUGGCCGAAAGGCUUUGGUAAUCCUUUUGAACCUCUCCCGUGGCCGGGAUAGGGAUUUGUAAUUAUUUCCCUUGAACGAGGAAUUCCUAGUAAGUGUGAGUCAUCAACUCACGUUGAUUGCGUCCCUGCCCUUUGUACACACCGCCCGUCGCUGUCCGGAACUGAACUGUUUCGAGAAGGCUGAGGACUGACUUUGUUCACUUGUGUUCAUUGUUGGGAAUC